UCUUUUGAAUUUAGAAAUAGAAGUUAUUAAAUGUUGGUGGCUCAUCAUGCAGUGCAUAUGAGAAGGGCAUGCUUUCAAAGGUUAAGACUGCUCCCCUGAUUCCUUCAGCAAAAAAACAACUUUAAAAUGCUGGUGAUAAUAUUUUAAAGAGUGCACCUGAUCGAAAAGAAGGUGAAUGACGUCAACUGUUCGAACAUUCGAUUCUUGGAAAUUAACAAGUGGAAGAAGAAGUUUAUAAAAUUAAAGCUAUGAACAAGGAUUGCG
rnacentral:misc_RNA from 1 species